rnacentral:rRNA from 1 species
UACGAAGGGGGCUAGCGUUGCUCGGAAUCACUGGGCGUAAAGCGCACGUAGGCGGAUUGUUAAGUCAGGGGUGAAAUCCUGGAGCUCAACUCCGGAACUGCCUUUGAAACUGCAGUGCUAGAAUUCUGGAGAGGCGAGUGGAAUUCCGAGUGUAGAGGUGAAAUUCGUAGAUAUUCGGAAGAACACCAGUGGCGAAGGCGACUCGCUGGACAGACAUUGACGCUGAGGUGCGAAAGCGUGGGGAGCAAACAGG